rnacentral:tRNA from 1 species
AGUAAGAUGCCUGACAAAAAGGGCUAUCUUGAUAGGAUAGAUUAUGUAGAUUUUUUACUCUUAUUA